rnacentral:rRNA from 1 species
GAUGAACGCUGGCGGCGUGCCUAAUACAUGCAAGUCGAGCGAACAGACGAGGAGCUUGCUCCUCUGACGUUAGCGGCGGACGGGUGAGUAACACGUGGAUAACCUACCUAUAAGACUGGGAUAACUUCGGGAAACCGGAGCUAAUACCGGAUAAUAUAUUGAACCGCAUGGUUCAAUAGUGAAAGACGGUUUUGCUGUCACUUAUAGAUGGAUCCGCGCCGCAUUAGCUAGUUGGUAAGGUAACGGCUUACCAAGGCAACGAUGCGUAGCCGACCUGAGAGGGUGAUCGGCCACACUGGAACUGAGACACGGUCCAGACUCCUACGGGAGGCAGCAGUAGGGAAUCUUCCACAAAGGGCGAAAGCCUGACGGAGCAACGCCGCGUGAGUGAUGAAGGUCUUCGGAUCGUAAAACUCUGUUAUUAGGGAAGAACAAAUGUGUAAGUAACUAUGCACGUCUUGACGGUACCUAAUCAGAAAGCCACGGCUAACUACGUG